UUAUUGACGUUCUAAUAGAAAUGUUUAAUUGUUCAAUGGGGCCCUUUUUAUUUCAAACUAUCUUCUAUUUAUCGAUUAUAUAUAAGCAACACGUCUAGAAUAUAUUGUUGAAACGUGUAGAAGAUAUUAGUAAACAGUAUUUGCUCAUUCUAUAUAUAAUAGUAAGAUUACCCCUCAAAGAUAUGGAUGCAAACACAGUGCACCGUUAGAUGCAAUAUUUGUUCACAUUUGUUUUUUAUUGAUGUUCUAAUAAAAAUGUUUAAUUGUUCAA